UUCUUUCUCUUUUAUUUCUAUCUUACCAGCUUUGUGAUUCUCAUUCCUCCUCUACACUUGCAUGACUCUGCCGUGUAUAUAAACCAUGUUAAGAGAUAAUGAAACGUAGUACAGGCCAGCUUAUUUAGACAUCAUCAUUUUAUUUCUCUAUCAGUCAGUGAAGGAUUGAAGAAUAAUGGCAUCGUUGAAGGCUGAGAAAUCUGUUGGCACUCAACUCUUCGGGCAGGCCAAGAAGGAGCCUGCCAAGCUUAAUGACAGCACCUCUAAAACCACGGCUUCAAAGCCAGCCGCAAAGAAGGCUGCACAAAAGCCUCAAGAACCCAAGAAGAAGGGAAAAGGAGGCAAAUCAGGGAAGCACUAAGCUAACUGUGAAAUGCAUAAGCUGUGGGAUGGCUCAAGUAAUAGUCCCCAUGCUCUAUCUAAUUUCAGUGUUCUAAGCCCUAUCAUACUGAUGGGCUAUUGAUGUAUCUGAAUGUAAGGCACUUGCGUUAGUGAAAUAAAAUUUGGUAUUUGAAACU